UGCAUUACUGCCUGUUUAAGAAAUGGCCCUUAGGAUGGAGAGCAAACCCAGCAGGAACUCCCAGUUCAGUAGCUUGUGAACCAUAGAAAGACAGACGUGUGUAAGUGUUGUUUUUGUUUUUUUCCAUUUGUAAUGCUUAUCAGUUUUAAAGUCUGAUUAUUUUUUUCAUAGGAGUAAGCAGUCUUUAACUGUGCUUCUGAGACUUCUCAAAGACACAGAGCUAACCCUUGGUGUCUCCAAGUGGGCUGAGUGGAUGGCGGCAGCUUGUUUUUUAGAUGAUGAUUGUUGGGUUUGGUGAGAGUUUAUUUUGUUUACUUCAAGACAGUGUUUCUUGGUGUAGCCAUCUUCUGUCCUGGAAUUCACAUUGUAGAUCAGAUUGGCUUCAAACUCAGAAAUCCUCUGUCUCUGCCUCCCAAGUACUGGGAUUAAAGGUGUCCACCAACACUGCCUAAAUCUAAGCCCUGGUUUUUCAAAAGAAGAAAACACCAGUAGACAGGCAGUAGAUCUUUAUGUAUAAAUAUCAUAGCUGCAAGUUAAAUCUUACCUUAAAGUGUAAGAUUAGUUUAAAGAUUUCAUAACAUAGCCAUUUUUAUUACAUAGGCCAAGCCACCCUAGCCUAGGAAUGGAACUAUCGAGGUUGUGUCUCUGGCAUUUGAAUUAUACAUGGAAAUUCUAACAAGAUUUUUCAUAAGCAUGUUUUUUGUUUUACAUCAUACCUUUAGUAUAAAUCUUAUCUUCGGGCUAGUGAGAUGGCUCGACAGGUAAAGGACACUGACUGCUCUUCCGAAAGUCCUGAGUUCAAAUCCCAGCAACCACAUGGUGGCUCACAACCACCCAUAAUGAGAUCUGACACCCUCUUCUGGUGUGUCUGAAGUCAGCUACAGUGAACUUAGGUAUAAUAAUAAAUAAUCUUUUUUUAAAAAAAAAUCUUAUCUUCAUCACUUGUGAGAGUAUUCUUGGAAAGGGAGCACAGAAAAUAAUAAAUUUUAAGUGUACAAUAGUUAUUUUGAUUACUACAAACUGGUUUUAUGUCCUGUGUUACCUGUGGCUAUUUAUUUUUUAAAAAUUUGAGACGGGGGUGGGGGCAAUGAAUGAAUGAAUGAAUAUGUGAAUGUGCACAGGCCACAAGCGUGCUGGUGUCAGAGGCUUCUUUGGAGCUGCAGUUACAGGCAGUUGUAAGCCGUCUGACAUGAGUGCUGGGAGCUGAACUAUGGUCCUUUAGAAGAGCAACAAGCAUUCUUAACCACUGGGACAUUUCUCUAACCUUGAUACAUUAUAUUUUAAAAGUUUUAUUCCUUGUCAUACACCUGUCUAAAAUUAUAUGCAGUGCUAUUUCUGAAAAUGUGGUGCGAGGUAUACAGUUUGAGUCCCAGAACUCGGGUAACUCUGUGGUUCCAAGACAGCUGGGCCUGUGUAGAGACCCUGUCUC
rnacentral:lncRNA from 1 species